UGGGGAAUAUUGCACAAUGGGCGAAAGCCUGAUGCAGCAACGCCGCGUGAGUGAUGAAGGCCUUCGGGUUGUAAAGCUCUGUCUUUUGGGACGAUAAUGACGGUACCAAAGGAGGAAGCCACGGCUAACUACGUGCCAGCAGCCGCGGUAAUACGUAGGUGGCAAGCGUUGUCCGGAUUUACUGGGCGUAAAGGAUGCGUAGGCGGAUUUUUAAGUGAGAUGUGAAAUACCCGGGCUUAACUUGGGUGCUGCAUUUCAAACUGGGAAUCUAGAGUGCGGGAGAGGAGAAUGGAAUUCCUAGUGUAGCGGUGAAAGUGCGUAGAGAUUAGGAAGAACACCAGUGGCGAAGGCGAUUCUCUGGACCGUAACUGACGCUGAGGCAUGAAAGCGUGGGUAGCAAACAGGAUUAGAUACCCUGGUAGUCCACGCCGUAAACGAUG
rnacentral:rRNA from 1 species